CCAUCCCAGUUCGGAUCGCAGGCUGCAACCCGCCUGCGUGAAGUUGGAAUCGCUAGUAAUCGCGGAUCAGCAUGCCGCGGUGAAUACGUUCCCGGGUCUUGUACACACCGCCCGUCACACCAUGGGAGUCGAUAACGCCCGAAGUCAGUGACCCAACCGAGAGGAGGGAGCUGCCGAAGGCAGGUCUGAUGACUGGGGUGAAGUCGUAACAAGGUAGC
rnacentral:rRNA from 1 species